GCCCGGAUGGCGCAGUCGGUAGAGCAUCAGACUUUUAAUCUGAGGGUCCAGGGUUCAAGUCCCUGUUCGGGCG
rnacentral:tRNA from 1 species